CCUACGGGAGGCAGCAGUGGGGAAUAUUGCACAAUGGGGGAAACCCUGAUGCAGUGACGCCGCGUGAGUGAAGAAGUUAUUCGGUAUGUAAAGCUCUAUCAGCAGGGAAGAAAAUGACGGUACCUGAGUAAGAAGCCCUGGCUAACUACGUGCCAGCAGCCGCGGUAAUACGGAGGGGGCAAGCGUUAUCCGGUUUUACUGGGUGUAACGGGAGCGUAGACGGCAGGGCAAGUCUGGAGUGAAAGGCGCGGGCUCAACCCCCGGACUGCUCUGGAAACUGUACGGCUGGAGUGCAGGAGAGGUAAGUGGAAUUCCUGGUGUAGCGGUGAAAUGCGUAGAUAUUAGGAGGAACACCAGUGGCGAAGGCGGCUUGCUGGACUGUAACUGACGUUGAGGCGCGAAAGCGUGGGUAGCAAACAGGAUUAGAUACCCGUGUAGUC
rnacentral:rRNA from 1 species